rnacentral:rRNA from 1 species
UACGUAGGUGGCAAGCGUUGUCCGGAAUUAUUGGGCGUAAAGCGCGCGCAGGCGGUCCUUUUAAGUCUGAUGUGAAAGCCCACGGCUCAACCGUGGAGGGUCAUUUGGAAACUGGGGGGACUUGAGUACAGAAGAGAAGAGUGGAAUUCCACGUGUAGCGGUGAAAUGCGUAGAUAUCGGGAGGAACACCAGUGGCGAAGGCGACUACCUGGCCUGUUCUUGACGCUGAGGCGCGAAAGCUAGGGGAGCAAACGGG